GGAUGCGAUCAUACCAGCACUAAAGCACCGGAUCCCAUCAGAACUCCGAAGUUAAACGUGCUUGGGCGAGAGUAGUACUAGGAUGGGUGACCUCCUGGGAAGUCCUCGUGUUGCAUCCCCGC
rnacentral:rRNA from 1 species